UUGUGCGCUGUGUUGUGCGGGAAGUUUUGUUUGCUGAAGUGGCUGCGGAAAAUGUUUAGUACGUCAUAUUUGUGUCACAAAUUAUGCGUUGAGCUGUGAAAGAUGCUUCCUAGUUUCUUAGAAUGCAAUUUGGAUGCACCUGGCAACCUUCCACAUCGUGCAGCAAUGUUUUUCAUUACAGCGGUAUGAUGCACGUGUUGAAAGAGCCUCUGUGAAAUGUUACCUGUCAUCCGUUUGCAAGAAAAUGUCAGCGCCACAUACGUUUGUGAAGUCAAUGGGCAAACAUUGCGCGCCUUGUCCCAUCCUACAGUUGGCAAUGCCCAAACUUGUAACCUCAGCUGUUGCGUGCUAUCUCAUUCGUUUUAGGUCAACGUAGAAUGAAAGCAUCGGCACACCAAGGUUGCAGAUAACAAUGUUUUCUGUGUAUUUCGGCUAUCUGAAGGGACACUCACAAUAAUUGCCUGAGUUCCGCAUAGGCGGAGUACGGAUCUCUGUCGUUGAUCUUGUUCCGUGUGUGAGAGUUAAGCUUUUACAACGAUUACGAGGAGUUGCUAUUACUCGAAAAUGUGCUUGCUGAACGAUGCGCAAAUCCAAUACAAUCUAAUGUCACCGCGCUGACGUCCACAUUGUUGGGUCAUCACUCUCGCAUCUGCACUGGAAUCCUGCUACAGUUAUCAGCAAUUCCAGCCAGCUAGAUUUGAUGCUAUCACCGGAUACACCGAACCACUUUGCGAAGCCAAGUUGCAGACUUCAGCUUAUGUGCACCAUUGUGAUGAACUUCGGUACUUCAUGACGUCGGUAACUACAGCAGCGCCACAGACUAUGUUAACCGAGUCCGGCCAGGAACUUUUCAGUGGGCAUAGUGGCACGACACUGAUCAUGUCGCUCAAAUUUCCUAUCAUUUUUAUUCAGAUCGUGAGGAUGCUGUGGCAAUGUUGUAUAGGUCUGCACUGUUGCCCAUUGCAAUUUAAUGUCGACAUGUGCUUUCUUGACAUCUUUACCUGUUGGAAUGUUAGUGCACAUGCCAUUGCCAAAAUCAACUUGAUAUCCAUGUCAUGGAAUAACAGAACAGCAUGUAAAGACUCAACCACGAAGCUGCAACCUCAGUGGGCACAGCACUGUCAGGACAGGGAUGAACGAAACCACAAAAGUCUUCAGUAGAGUGAGUGUUGUGCAGUGUUGUGUGGAUGACUACUGAUUCCUGGGAAGGAACAUUGUGAUGUGCUUUCGUCGCAAGACAUUUAUGUACACCUUGUGCAAUUUAUGCAUCAUGUGUAAUUGGCAUGAGGUAAGUGCAAAGUUUUGUCAUCUUCACUGUCCUGGCAAGCAUUGUUUUCAAUAGGCAGCUUUCUUAUCAAAGUCGUAUGGGCACCCAACACUUGGUUUGAGCAGAGCUGCAACUUAGCAGGCUACUGUGGAGUAGCUAUUGUUAUGGGAGGCGGGUACUUUGAAUGGCAGUGUCACACAUUUUCAAGCUGGUACAUCAU